AGAGUUUGAUCAUGGCUCAGAGCGAACGCUGGCGGCAUGCUUAACACAUGCAAGUCGCACGGGCAGUUUCGGCUGUCAGUGGCGGACGGGUGAGUAACGCGUAGGUAUCUAUCCUUGGGUGGGGGACAACCGCGGGAAACUGCGGCUAAUACCGCAUGACGACCCUUUUCGGGAGACUGGGGUCCAAAGCCUUUCGGGGG
rnacentral:rRNA from 1 species